rnacentral:rRNA from 2 species
AAAUUGAAGAGUUUGAUCAUGGCUCAGAUUGAACGCUGGCGGCAGGCCUAACACAUGCAAGUCGAACGGUAACAGGAAGCAGCUUGCUGCUUUGCUGACGAGUGGCGGACGGGUGAGUAAUGUCUGGGAAACUGCCUGAUGGAGGGGGAUAACUACUGGAAACGGUGGCUAAUACCGCAUAACGUCGCAAGACCAAAGAGGGGGACCUUCGGGCCUCUUGCCAUCAGAUGUGCCCAGAUGGGAUUAGCUGGUUGGUGAGGUAACGGCUCACCAAGGCGACGAUCCCUAGCUGGUCUGAGAGGAUGACCAGCCACACUGGAACUGAGACACGGUCCAGACUCCUACGGGAGGCAGCAGUGGGGAAUAUUGCACAAUGGGCGCAAGCCUGAUGCAGCCAUGCCGCGUGUAUGAAGAAGGCCUUCGGGUUGUAAAGUACUUUCAGCGGGGAGGAAGGUGUUGUGGUUAAUAACC